rnacentral:lncRNA from 1 species
AGUGAUCCAUUGGUUGUUUAGUAGCAUGUUAUUUAGUCUCCAUGUGUUUUGUGUUUUUUACAGUUUUUUUUCUUGUUGUUGAUUUCCAGUCAUACAGCGUUGUGGUCAGAAAAGAUGCUUGAUAUGAUUUCAAUUUUCUUAAAGUUACCGAGGUUGGAUUUGUAGCCCAGGAUGUGAUCAAUCUUGGAGAGUGUUCCAUGUACACUUGAGAAGAAUAUGUAUUCUGUUGCUUUUGGACGGAAUGUCCUAUUAAGUAUCUAUUAAGUCCAUCUGGUUUAAUAUAUCAUUCAGGGCCUGUGUUUUCUUAUUUUCUGUCUGGAUGAUCUGUCCAUUGCUGUAAGUGGGGUGUUAAAGUCCCCCACUAUUAUUGUGUUAUUGUCGAUUUGUCCUUUCAAGGUUGUCUGCAGUUCCCUUAUAUAUUGUGGUGAACCUAUGUUGGCUGUGUAGAUAUUUAACAUUGUUAUAUCUUCUUCUUGGAUUGAUCCUUUAAUCAUUAUGUAAUGACCUUCUUUGUGCCUUAAAAUAUUCAUUUUAAAGUCUAUUUUGUCUUUAAUGAGUAUUGCUACUCCAGCAUUCUUUUGAUCCCCAUUUGCAUGAAAUAUUUUCUUCCAUCCUCUCACUUUCCAUUUGUAUGUGUCCCUAGAAGUGAAGUAGGUCUCUUGAAGACAACAUAUAUAUGGGUCUUGUUUUUGUAUCCAUUCAGCCAGUGUAUGUCUUUUGGUUGGGGCGUUUAGUCCAUUAACAUUUAAGGUAAUUAUUGAUAUGUAUGUUCUUAUUGCCAUUUUAUUAAUUGCUUUGGAUUUUUCAUUGCUCUUUUUUCUUCCCUUCUUUUCUUGUUCUCUUCUGGUUUGAUCACUAUCUUUAGUGUUGUAUUUGAGUUGAUUUUUCUUUGUUGGUGUAUCAAUUGUAGAUUUUUGGUUUGCAGUUAUUCUGAAGUUUUGAUAUAAGAGUCUAUAUGUAUAUUAAAUUGUUUUAAGUUGUUGUUCUCCUAAUUGCAAGUUCAUCUCCAGUGUCCUGCAUUUGUACUUACCUCAUCUCAUGAUUUCUGAUUUUGGUGGUAUAAUUGUGCAUGGAUGAUUUCAUAUCUUUACUGUAUAUAUACCUUUACUGGUGAGCCUUGUCAUUUGUGAUAUUUUUGUUUCCUGUUGCUGUCUUUUCUUUUCUGCCUAGAGAAGUUCCUUUAGUAUUUGUUGUAAGGCUGGUUUAGUGUUGCUGAAUUCUCUCAGCUUUUGCUUAUCUGUGAAGGUUUUGAUUUUUCCUUCAAAUCUGAAUGAAAGCCUUGCUGGGUAAAGUAAUCUUGGUUUGAGGUUUUUUUUCUUUUCGUCAUGUUAAGUAUAUCAUGCCACUCCCUUCUGGCCUGCAGAGUUUCCUGCUGAAAAAUCUGCUGGUAACUUUAUCAGGGUUCCCAGGCUAGGGGUCUAAUCGGAGCUAUAGCUGCCAGGCUAUGCCAGAGCCACAGCAACGCAGGAUCUGAACCACAUCUGCAACCUACACCACAGCUCACAGCAACGCUGGAUUGUUAACCCACUGAGCAAGGCCAGGGAUCGAACCCACAACCUCAUGGUUCCUAGUUGGAUUUGUUAACCACUGCACCAUGACGGGAACUCUAAGAUUUUUCUCUUUGUUUUUAAUUUGGUCAGUUUGAUUAAUAUGUGUCUCGGUGUAUUCCUCCUUGGGUUUAUUUUAUAUGGUACUCCUUAUGCUUCCUGGAUUUGAAUGAGUGGUUCUUUUCCCACGUUGGGGAAGUUUUAGGCCAUUAUCUCUUGGAAUAUUUUUUCUGACCCUUCUCUCUCUCUUCUCCUUCUGGCACCCCUAUAAUACGGAUGUUGGUGCAUUUAACAUUGUCUCAGAGUUCUCUGAGACUCUCUUCAUUUGUUUUCAAUCUUUUUUCUCUUUUCUGUUCUGCGUUUGUAAUUUCUACUAAUCUGUCCACCAUCUUGCUUAUUCAUUCUUUUGCAGCCUGUAUUCUGCUGUUAGCUGCUUCUAGUGAAUAUUUUACUUCAGUUAUUAUAUUUUGCAUCUCUUCUUAAGUUUUAUAUCUUGUAUCUCUUUUCUCAGUGUUUCCUGUAAGUUAUCCAUCUUUGCCUCCAGUUUAUUCCCAAUGUCUUGCAUCAUCUUCAGCAUCAACAGUCUAAAGUCUUUUUCAUGGAGGCUGAGAACUUCUUCAUCACUUAGCUGAUUUUCUGGGGUUUUUCCUUUCUCCCUCAUCUGAGUUAUAGUUCUCUGUCUUUUCACUUUUAUAGGUUUUUGGUGUGGUGACCUUUUUAUAGAUAAUAGAGCUGUAGCCUCUCUUACUUCUGGUGUCUGCCCCCCUUGUGGCUGAAGUCGGUAUGGGGGGCCUGCUGUAGGCUUCCUGAUGGGAGGGGCUGAGGCCCACCCACUGGUAGGUGAAGCUGAUUCCUAUCCCUCUGGUGGGUGGGGCUUAGUCUCUGGAUGGGAUUAGAGGCGGCUAUGUGCCUUCCGGGUCUUUAGGCAGCCUGUUUACUGAGGGGCCAGGCUGUGAUCCCACCUGGAUUGUUGUUUGCCCUGGGGCUUCAAAUCUGGGUGGGGCCAGAUUUUCCCAAAAUGGCCACCUCCAGAGAAAGGCACAUUGAUGAAUAUUCCCGAGAGCUUUGCUUCCAAUGUCCUUCCGUCACAACAAGCCACAUUCACCCCUGUUUUCCCAGGAUGUCCUCUAAGAAUUGCAGUCAGCUUUGACCCAGAUUCCUGUGGAGACCUCACUCUGCCCUGGGACCCAGUGCAUGUGAAAGUCUGUGUGCGCCUUUUAAGAAAGGGGUCUCCAUUUCCCCCAGUCCCGUGGAGCUUCUGCAUGCAAGCCCCACUGGCCUUCAAUGCCAGAUGCUCCAGGAGCUCUUUCUCCCAGUGCCAGAUCCCCGCACAUGGGAGUUAGAUGUGGGGCUCAGAACUCUCACUCCUGUAGGUGAGUCUCUGUGAACCAGUUAGUUUCCAGUCUGUGGGGCUUCCCACCCAGGAGGUAUGGGGUUGUUUAUAUCACGUAAUCGCCCCUCCUACCUCUUGAUGUGGCCUCCUCUUUUUCUUCUGGAGUAGGAUAUCUUUUUUAAGGUUUCUGGUCCAUUUGGUUGAAGAUUGCUCAGCCUUUAGUUGUGAAUUUUGUUGUUUUUAGGAGAGAAGUUGCGCUCCAGUCCUUCUAUUCCACCAUCUUAAUUCCAUCAGUUUUUGCCCCUUCUGAUGAUAUGACCCCACUCAACCAGAGAUGGCAAAAGAACAGAAACCCAGGGCGGGGGUGUUUCACCCUGGAGCCAUGCCCCUAAACCCAGUGAUCUCUGCCUUUAGUCAGGAAGCCCAACAUUGCCUGACUUUGAAACCCCAGUAGCUUCUACCAUCCCACACCGUGCCUGGGUCAAAUUCACCCUUCACAAGGGCAAAGGGGAAAUUACUAAGGAACUGAAAAUCGUCUGUCUUCAAAGGCAAUAUAAUAGAGCUGUCAGCUGGGAGACACAAGGCCUUAUUCCCAGCUCCUACUCCCCUUUCCUGCUUCUUUCCCUGCAGAGAAGGAUCCCAGAAAACUAACCCCUUGGAGUUCAUGCUUAGGUUGGUAGCACAGACAAGACCCUCUGCUGCAGUGUGUGGUCCCCAGCAACCAUGUGGGAGAAGCCGUGUUCCUAAGAUGGGAAGAAAGAAAGCUGAGCUGGGUGCUGAGGCAGUGUGCCCCUGGCCUGGAGUCUCAGCUCUGAUGCUAUCACUGUGGCAACUCCUGUAGGCUGGAUGGAGGAACGGUGAGAACAGGCAGGAGGUGGGAAAACAGCAUCAGAGGGUUCCUGCCUGCUGCCAUGCCCUGCCGCCCCCAUCUGCCCCCCGUCCGGCACAGGGGUUGAUGCUUGGUAAGUGCAUAGAUGAUACUAGCAACAGCAUCAUCAUCAUGCUACUCACAACAAGUAAAUGUACUGAGUACUUAAUUCAGUGCUAAACACGGCAAAAACUCCUAUCAGAAACAGAUAUGUAUAGACCCCAACUCCCAAAGACAGUGGAGCUCCUCUCUUCAUGUGUAAUUCCAAAAA